rnacentral:sRNA from 1 species
UGUCGCGUCUUCCAUACUGUCUGCCACGGC